rnacentral:rRNA from 1 species
UACGAAGGGGGCUAGCGUUGCUCGGAAUCACUGGGCGUAAAGCGCACGUAGGCGGAUUGUUAAGUCAGGGGUGAAAUCCCGGAGCUCAACUCCGGAACUGCGUUUGAUACUGGCGAUCUUGAGUCCGGGAGAGGUGAGUGGAACUGCGAGUGUAGAGGUGAAAUUCGUAGAUAUUCGCAAGAACACCAGUGGCGAAGGCGGCUCACUGGCACGGUACUGACGCUGAGGUGCGAAAGCGUGGGGAGCAAACAGG